rnacentral:SRP_RNA from 7 species
UGGAUGUCUUCUGACGGCUUCUGGGCCUGGGCCUGUAUGUAACACGGGCCGGCCUGCCCGUCCCAAGUUGGUAGUGGCUGGCGGGGCUCGGGCGAAGGCCUGGACCUCUCUAGACCUGAAGCGGCAGGCACCGCGUGAGGCUGGCUUUAUAGAUCACUGCCCGCUUCUAAUGGUGGGAGGAUAACACAGCGGUGCACUGUAAGUCUAACUUCCUAGAGGUGUAAUCGGAUCGAAUA